rnacentral:rRNA from 1 species
AUUGAACGCUGGCGGCAUGCUUUACACAUGCAAGUCGAACGGUCACAUGCCGCACGGUGCUGACGAGUGGCGACCGGGUGCGUAAUGCUUCCGAACGUGCCCAGUCGCUGUGGAUCUCUACUCGCAAGAGUAGCUAAUACCUCAUACGAUCUAUGGUUGAAAGCGGGGGACUGUAAUGCUUCGCGCGAUUGUUGCUGUCGAUGUCAGAUUAGGUAGUUGGUCAGGUAAAGGCUCACCAAGCCAACGAUCUGUAGCUGGUCUGAGAGGACGACCCGCCACACUGGAACUGAGACACGGCCCAGACUCCUACGGGAGGCAGCAGUAGGGAAUUUUGGGCAAUGGGCGAAAGCCUGAUGCAGCAAUGCCGCGUGCAGGAAGAAGGCCUUCGGAUUGUAAAAUGCUUUUGUACGGAACGAAACGACGCUGAAGAAAACACGGGGCUAAUGACGGUACCGUAAGAAAAAGCACCGGCUAACUACGUG